AAUUUCACCACUUAGUUUAUCAGGAUGCACUACAUGAUUAUGACAAGAUAAACAUUCCUUCAAAACCACAAGCCAGUAGAAAUUAGUCUGGUCUUAGGAGUAUCCCCAUGGGAAGGGGAGUUCCCAAGUAUGUGACUAUGCAGGAAGUACAGACUCUGUAGUUGUAGUUGCUUGUUCAGUACAUGGUUUUGGGCAAGGUUGUAUGGUGUCUCUAGUAGAGAAGCGCUUCUGUCAACGAAAGCGUUUCUAAAGACAAGUAACAACCAGUACAUUAUAAGGAAGCUCUCAGGUAUGUUAUUGAUAGCUGCAUCGUACUUCACUUUUUUCUUUUCAGCGAGUUAAAACCAUUUUAAAAUGACACUUUUUAUUGUGUACUAUCAAGUAAACAAUACUAUCAAGUAAACAAUAGAUAUUAUCAUACAGUACAGUGGAUGGUGCGAUGUGGACGAAGUGUUUCUUCAUCAUGCAUCGAAGCCUUUCGACACCAUUCGGGAUACUUCGGUAUGUUGUCUUCAGGUUGUUGAAGUAGGCAUGGAUACUCUCUGCCCCUUGCUCUCCCAUGAGCCCUAUUCCCACUUGCCACUCAUCAAGCCAGUCGACCUCCAGCAUGUGCAUCUUCGGUGUUACCGUCGCAUGAGGAAAAUGCUCCCGAUAGAAUGUCAUGAAACUUGAGAUGUACCUUUGGAUUAUAAAAGUACUUUCGUUUGUCAUUGUAUUUACCCUAGGGACGCAAUGCUGUGACGGCAUUCUGGUUGUGGCAUUUACUGAAGAGAUUUAACAUCACAGAAAACGUCCUCUGAAUCUUCUCAGCUUUCUGUAGGUAUACUUUCUUGCCUCCACCACUACUGAGUUACAUAGCUGAUGUAUGAUGUAUGAUGUAUGUUGUCAGGCUGCAGAGAGUGAUGUCCAACAUAUUUAAGCUGUGUUUGUUUGUGAAACCUACCUCAAGCGUUAGGUGAACAUGGUUUCCCACGAACGUUCCAACAUAGUAGGACUACCUCCAGAGCAGCAUCUAGGGUUCUGACAAAGGUUCUGACAAAGGGACCAUCCUCUCGUUUGAAGCCCUUUGCAAUCACAGCAUCCAGUUUGCCGCACUCAGUGCCCGUGUGACUGACACAUUGUGUAUGAUUUAGUUCUUACUAGUUUCUUUGCCUGCUGAGCUUUCUCCUCAAUCUCAGAGCGGAGGGCUCGCAACAUCCUCCUCCUCACCCUCCUCACCCUCCACAAGCAAGGCGACCAGUUCGUCUACUUCAUCAUUUGCUCUGUAAUUAUGUUCACUUAAUAAAUGUGUAUUUAUCGUGUAAAUAACCUGUCUAGCUUAGCUCAUCUCUGAGGGUCCUGGCUCGAGCGAAGUCAUCCAUAUAGUUGGCAAAUGUGGGACCACCCUUCUCGCGACUAUCUCGUUCGUCCCUUACAGCCCUGUCAAGUUGAUGACACUCGUCCUCUAAAAGUUUGAAGAGGCGGUAGAAUAUUCCCAAACUUAUGUGUAGCCCUGGUGGGCAAACCUACGUUUCCAUUGGAGAUAAGUUAUUGAAGUGCUUCACUCUGCUUGGUAUCCCCACCGGCGGCAAUGAAGUUGUGGUGGUCCUGCAACAAGCUGCCUAUAUUUCUACUUGCAACUGUGCACCUGACAAGCCAAAUAUGUUGCACAGGAACUCAUAGUCUCCGCUGAGAAACACUCGAAUAUUCUUUCCUCUAAAAGUUGUCGAUCUCGUCCUGGAAGCGCUGCAGUGCUAUCUUGAGGUUGGUUGC